UAUUUGCAAAGGUUCUGGCUCUUCGUGGUCUAAAGUGAAGUUCCCCUCCUGAUGGCUGAGCUCAGAAAAAAGUCCUUCCUCUUUAAACAGACGAUUUUCUGGGAGAUCUGGAAGAAAGAAAACAAAAGUGCGCAGAGACUCUUCACUGCAUGCUGGAGCACAUCCUGUGUUGCCGCCAUUUGGAUGGGUCUCUAUUCUCUAAGAUCUUCAGAUAGACCUCUUUCCAAAUCAAGGCCAUUUAUUAGACCAACGUGCAAGGAGAGAUUUCCCUCACAGUGAACCUCCACGGUCCCAAAGCUUUCACUUACUUGAGGGAAUCGCAGCAUCUUCCUCUCCAACAUCCACAUAAGAAGCUGUGAAAAACAAUAUAUUUGAAGUGUUUUAUUCCUGGUAAUACUGGGCAUUUUAAAGAAUUAUCUUCCCAGGACUAAAUCUGUGCAUGCAUAACAAAUAUGAAGGACUGAUGAGAAUGUUGAAAAUCAGAAUUUAACAUUAUUUUUUCACCUGUACUGUGUGUGACACAUUCAAAGGUACACUAGCUCAUAUGUUUUGGUUUGUGUAUAAAAGAGCUGAAGCCGUUUGCCACAUUUCUGUAACUUGCUUUUUUGUUGUCGGAAG